UACGUAGGGGGCAAGCGUUGUCCGGAAUCAUUGGGCGUAAAGCGCGUGUAGGCGGCUCGGUAAGUCCGCUCUGAAAGUCCAGGGCUCAACCCUGGGAUGCGGGUGGAUACUGCCGGGCUCGAGUCCGGAAGAGGCGAGUGGAAUUCCCGGUGUAGCAGUGAAAUGCGUAGAUAUCGGGAGGAAUACCGAUGGCGAAGGCAGGUCUCUGGGCUAUAACUGACGCUCAUGCACGAAAGCGUGGGGAGCAAACAGG
rnacentral:rRNA from 1 species